rnacentral:rRNA from 1 species
GAUGAACGCUGGCGGCGUGCCUAAUACAUGCAAGUCGAGCGAACGGACGAGAAGCUUGCUUUUCUGAUGUUAGCGGCGGACGGGUGAGUAACACGUGGAUAACCUACCUAUAAGACUGGGAUAACUUCGGGAAAUCGGAGCUAAUACCGGAUAAUAUUUUGAACCGCAUGGUUCAAAAGUGAAAGACGGUCUUGCUGUCACUUAUAGAUGGAUCCGCGCUGCAUUAGCUAGUUGGUAAGGUAACGGCUUACCAAGGCAACGAUGCAUAGCCGACCUGAGAGGGUGAUCGGCCACACUGGAACUGAGACACGGUCCAGACUCCUACGGGAGGCAGCAGUAGGGAAUCUUCCGCAAUGGGCGAAAGCCUGACGGAGCAACGCCGCGUGAGUGAUGAAGGUCUUCGGAUCGUAAAACUCUGUUAUUAGGGAAGAACAUAUGUGUAAGUAACUGUGCACAUCUUGACGGUACCUAAUCAGAAAGCCACGGCUAACUACGUG